UACAGAGGGUGCAAGCGUUAAUCGGAAUUACUGGGCGUAAAGCGUGCGUAGACGGUUACAUAAGUCGGGUGUGAAAGCCCCGGGCUCAACCUGGGAAUUGCAUUCGAGACUGCGUAGCUAGGGUGCGGAAGAGGGAAGCGGAAUUUCCGGUGUAGCGGUGAAAUGCGUAGAUAUCGAGAGGAACACCUGCGGCGAAGGCGGGUAGCUGGGCCGACACUGACGCUGAGGCGCGAAAGCCAGGGGAGCGAACGGG
rnacentral:rRNA from 1 species